GGGCAAACGCCAAUGCAGCCUCUUCUGGGCUUGGGCUGGAACUUGAACUCUGAAGCCUGGGGAGGAGGGAAGGGGCCCAAGUCACCGUGUCUGCACUGCUGUUCCCAGUGCCAUAGCCUGAGCCUGAGGUUAGAGAUGUUUUAUGGCAGGUUUUAAAAUCUCGCAGUGUAGAGGUUCUCCUUAGGGCUAGGGCCUGGAGCUGGCUAACCCCGUCCAACUAGCCCUGCCUGCCAUCUCUGGGAUGGGCUCUGGGGUACAUCAGUAGAACCAGUCUGGGUCUGGAGCAGCGCUUCUCUACCUGGGACAUCCUCAGGGCCAAACAGGUGGUAUUGAAUGUGGCCCACACAACACAUGUUUGGUCCACAAUGGAAACCAGGUUGAGAAGCACUGGCCUGGAGGAGCUGAUUGUGGUAGAAAGAGCAACAGGAAGUUGCAGAGAUGGAGGAAAGACUACUGCAGGGAAGCACUUGAGAGCAGGGCUGAGAGCAGUUUGCUAAGGCAGGGGAGGCCCUGGGAUAUCAGGGGAGUUUGGGCUGUGCCCACGGUAAGGUUUUAGGGAAGGCUUUUGUGUGUGUUUCUGAGCUUUAAGAUGCUAAACCAGACCUCAGGAAGACUGGGGUUCCUGGACUUGUCAAAGCCUCUUUCUUGAGAUUAUGGAGGAGCCAAGAUGGGCAGCUGAGGUGAGAGGCGGCUUGCAGGGCUGCCAGGAGGGGUUACUUGGGAAGAGGCCACUCAUUGAUAAAUCCAUCUCUCAACUUUCUGGCAUUCUUCCAGAUUGGAGACAUCGUGGGAUGUAUCUCAAUCUGGCUGGACGGCAUCUGUGAUCCCAGAGCCAGAAAAGCAGCGCUGAGGGCCACGGCCUUGCUGGCUCGUUCCCACCCCCAGGACGUGGUUCUGAGCUAUGUGGCGCACACGCUGUCAUCGGACAGCAUGUCAGUGAAGGCUGUGAAGACUCUUCUCCACGCCUGGAUACUGGAAGGAAUUUGCCGGCAUCCAAUUUCAGCAUGGUUGGGACAUAAUGUCCUCCCGAAAUUACUACUCACAGGGGGUUGGCUUGUUUGCAAGAGCCAUGAUCGAGUUUGAGAACCCUCAUCUCCCUCCAGUUUUCAGAGGCUGUCACCAUUGUCCAGAGUGAGAAGGAGGAGGAGCAGAGAAAUAUCACCAUGACAUUCUGUUCUGAGGUGAGAUUCAUUAGUUGACAGGCACAAGUGGGCUUUUUGGAGAGCAGCUCAGGCCAGUAAGCUCUGGGCA
rnacentral:lncRNA from 1 species